rfam:Gossypium raimondii chromosome 13, whole genome shotgun sequence.
AACCCACGGUGAGGGCACCUUCUCAAUAGAUCCUUGUAUCUCUCCCAUGCAUCAUAUUAGGUCUCUAAAUCAAUCUGAACAAGGGAAGAUAUAUCAUUCUUGAACUU